CUUUUUCUUGUUCUUUACACAGCUGUCCACAUAUAAAAUCUCCUUAUUACCCUUCUUCUUUCUAUCAUAUACCUAGAAAAUAUAAUUUGACUUAAGCUUCGUCUUCAUCAUUCGAUUUCCAGAUUUAUUUUUUUCUUUGGUUUGGAUCUUCACCGUAUAAUUGAAGAAAACUUGUAAUUGAUCUUUGUUUAAGCAAAAAAAUUUGAAAAGACAGUUUUUUUUCUGAGAAGCCGGUGGCAAGAACUUCAAGCGGUCCGGAGAAGAUUCAAAGCUUCAGAACUUGAAGCUGAUUUCCUUUUGAAAUAAUAAUACUCUGCGGACAUGAACUCGGCUGCAAGUAGAUAUGCCGAUGAAGAAUCUAUGAUAAGUAGAAGAGAUAAUAACUGGUUUGGCUGUUGCAUUAAACAAAAAAUUGGUUUGGCUAAUGCUAGUAAUUCUCGAUCUCAAGAACAGAUGCUUCACUUCUGGUGUUUGCGGCUAACGGCUUCGGUGUGGACGGUGUCGUUGGUGGUGGUGCACGGCUCCGGUUCAGUUUCAUUGACUGAUAUUUAACACAACACUCCGGUGGUGCAAGCACAUCUCUUCUAUCGGUUAAGAUUCUACACAGGAAAGAAUUCAAUAUAAUGGUUGAUUGGUCUUGUGCUUGUCUAUCUCGAUUAUGUCAUGAGAUUGCUUGUUUUGUGGCAGGUGUUAUGAGAGUAGCUUAGAAGUUUCAUGGAAUUGGAAUCUUCCUAAAGUCAAAGAAGAAGGCAAGAAAACUAAGUUCAGCUUAGGAACGGCUUAUCCUAAACUCGGUUCCCACAUAUUGGAAGACACUAAAAUCCCUACCAAGAGCAAUGAGUUAGUAAUUGAGCUUCUUUUGUGGUGUGAGCCUGCAUUUUGACAGGUUUCAUCGAGGAUUUAAAGGUGUGAUUUUUUUUUCUUUGUUUGACUCACCUUGUACUUUUUCUCAUGCUUUUUCACACUUACAGCAGAGAAAAUACAGUUACAGCAAAGAAAAGGUCAAAUUCAACUUGUUUUGGAUUUCUCUCAAAUUGUUUGUAUUAUAAUUUUUGACUUUUCCAGGUUAUCAUUCAGAUUAACUUUGGUUAAGAAUAUUGUGUAUCAACAGUUUUAUAUUUCUGUAUUACAUGACUUUCUCCCAUUUUCAGUUUUCAA